CACCAUGUAGCUCAAUUGGUAGAGUGCCAAGGUGUCAUCAUUUGACAAUCACCUUAUUCAUUGUUGAUGCAAGUUCGAGCCUCGUCAUGGCUAUUGA